UAUUCUGCCCACAAACUGUAAUUUUCACUUCUUUUUUUUGUGUCUGCAAUGAAAGUCCCCAGUAGACAAAGCAAAUGAACCAUUUGGUGACUAAAACUGUAUCUUGCUCAAUGCAGGCAAUCUAUGGCAAAAUAUAUAGACAGCACCUUUCACAGCUGGCGAGGAAAAGUAAUAUAUUUUAUGUUUUUGGAUUUGUUUCAUAUGUAGAUGAAUGCAGAACAGGGCUCUAGAGAUAUGUGUUUUUGGGGAGGUGGAGGUGUCAUAUUCUCCUUCUACUGCAUCUGUUGUAUCUAGAAUUAAAGCCUUAAGGAAUAUGAGACCAAAAUAUAUCACACGACAUAAUAAAACAAGAAACAGGUCACUGUCCUACCAAAGAUGACUCAAUUCUAAACAGUGUUUUGUAUUUUGCCACAUUGCAUACAUCAGUAUUUUUAUUGUCUAUGUAGCUUUGACCAGACUUAUAUGAUUUCAGUUUAAAUAUCAAAAUCAAAUGAAAAUGAAUUUGUCCUUUUUUCAUAAGAUACAUUUCUAUUGAAACCCUGAAGAAUCACAAUUGCAACCAUUUGUAUACAAAUAAACCCUUCAUAAAAUGUGCAAGAAUGCACAUGUUGUUACUAUUGACAAUUUUAAAUUUAAAAUGCAAAAAAUCAACAAACUUUGAGUCAAAGUAAUGUGUGAGUAGUUAUGUGCUGCUGGAGGCUGCGAGUGACAGACUUGGUCUGCACCACCUUGUGGUCAGUGUGAAACUGCUGUUUCACUAACUAAACUGUGAAAAUCUACUCAGCUCAGUAGGUGUGACCAGCAGGUGCUGCUGCGCAGCUGUUGCUCCUCAGCGAGCAAUCAACCUAGGCUCAAAAGGAGUGAAAAACCAGAGGGAGGCCUCAGCUCGUUGUCUCACAAGGCGUGGAAAUGAUUCUGCUGGAGUUUCUGUGGACUUUAUGUCUCCUGCCGUGUUCAGAUGAACAUGGGAACUCAAGCCUCAACGCCUUGGCCGAGAGUUUCCUAUCUGGCUCCUUCCUGGACCCUGGUUUCUGGAAAUAACUUUCUAUCAGCUUCUGAGAACCAUCCAUCCGCCUGUCCAUCCUCUGACAGAUCAUCGUCCCUCCAUGGGAUCCACUGAAUGGAGUAAAGCACAGUCAAAAGAACGAGGAAAUACUUUCCCCCGCUGCUGCACCCUCCUGUCAACCUCAGCCAUUGUGGUAAAGACUUAUUCCUCCCUAACCUGGCUAAGAGUUCAUUUUCCGUAAGUCUAACCCUGAUGGACUUUAGUAUUAUUAAUCCCACCUUUACUCAAACGCUCUCUAGGCCUAUCUUCUUCUCCUUCAGUGAGAUCCCAAUCCUGCCUGUUGACCCAGUCCGGAUUCCAGAAUAAACCAACGUUUGUGAACUAAAUAAACUGUUAGA